CAGUGCACUGAACCUGUGAGUCGGAGACUGUGGACACGACACAGGGGACUUGGUUUAUGGUGACGGAGACGUGCUGAGAGUCCCUGCCAAAUCCUGAACCUGUCAGUGUGACGACUGCACCGCUCGGCCCUAUGGGAAAGAAACAGAGGGGAGGAAGAGAUGAAUCUUCUGGAGUUUACUAUAAAAAUGGAUUUAAUCUCAGUGAUAGUGAUCCAAAUAUACAGCGGAAUAAACAUGGAUGCUUGUUUACGGGUAGAGCUACGUUGACUACAGGAUGUAGAGGACCAUUAUUACCGGUGGUGGGGCUGAUGGAGCUGAUGACAGGAGUGUGUGCUGCAGAGUAGGUGAAGUUGAGAGGAGGGUACUGCACGGAAAAGACCUGGACAUUGGCGGUCACCAGCCCCUCGCCGCGAGGAGGCGUCAGGCAGCGAAGCAGACCCGGCGUCACCUCCUGAACCUUCGCAGGGUAUGCCACCGACCAGCACGCUGGUGUUCCCCGGAGCGAAGCCGUUUCCAGUGAAGACCAGAGAGGUUCCUCCUGCCAGGCUGCCCAUGCCGGGGUUGAGGAACGGCCUGGGCGCGGCUGCUCAGGGUGACAGAACCUGAUGCAAGGCCUUUACUUCUCACGAUCACUUUGACCGGGUGGU